GGUUAAGCGACUAAGCGUACACGGUGGAUGCCCUGGCAGUCAGAGGCGAUGAAGGACGUGCUAAUCUGCGAUAAGCGUCGGUAAGGUGAUAUGAACCGUUAUAACCGGCGAUUUCCGAAUGGGGAAACCCAGUGUGAUUCGUCACACUAUCAUUAACUGAAUCCAUAGGUUAAUGAGGCGAACCGGGGGAACUGAAACAUCUAAGUACCCCGAGGAAAAGAAAUCAACCGAGAUUCCCCCAGUAGCGGCGAGCGAACGGGGAGGAGCCCAGAGCCUGAAGCAGUGUGUGUGUUAGUGGAAGCGUCUGGAAAGGCGCGCGAUACAGGGUGACAGCCCCGUACACAAAAAUGCACAUACUGUGAGCUCGAUGAGUAGGGCGGGACACGUGGUAUCCUGUCUGAAUAUGGGGGGACCAUCCUCCAAGGCUAAAUACUCCUGACUGACCGAUAGUGAACCAGUACCGUGAGGGAAAGGCGAAAAGAACCCCGGCGAGGGGAGUGGAAAAGGAACCUGAAACCGUGUACGUACAAGCAGUGGGAGCCUCUUUAUGGGGUGACUGCGUACCUUUUGUAUAAUGGGUCAGCGACUUAUAUUCUGUAGCAAGGUUAACCGAAUAGGGGAGCCGAAGGGAAACCGAGUCUUAACUGGGCGUUAAGUUGCAGGGUAUAGACCCGAAACCCGGUGAUCUAGCCAUGGGCAGGUUGAAGGUUGGGUAACACUAACUGGAGGACCGAACCGACUAAUGUUGAAAAAUUAGCGGAUGACUUGUGGCUGGGGGUGAAAGGCCAAUCAAACCGGGAGAUAGCUGGUUCUCCCCGAAAGCUAUUUAGGUAGCGCCUCGUGAAUUCAUCUCCGGGGGUAGAGCACUGUUUCGGCAAGGGGGUCAUCCCGACUUACCAACCCGAUGCAAACUGCGAAUACCGGAGAAUGUUAUCACGGGAGACACACGGCGGGUGCUAACGUCCGUCGUGAAGAGGGAAACAACCCAGACCGCCAGCUAAGGUCCCAAAGUCAUGGUUAAGUGGGAAACGAUGUGGGAAGGCCCAGACAGCCAGGAUGUUGGCUUAGAAGCAGCCAUCAUUUAAAGAAAGCGUAAUAGCUCACUGGUCGAGUCGGCCUGCGCGGAAGAUGUAACGGGGCUAAACCAUGCACCGAAGCUGCGGCAGCGAC
rnacentral:rRNA from 1 species